rnacentral:rRNA from 1 species
GCCUGCGAAGGUGGCCUGUGAGGGUUGCUGGAGGUAUCAGAAGUGCGAAUGCUGACAUAAGUAACGAUAAAGCGGGUGAAAAGCCCGCUCGCCGGAAGACCAAGGGUUCCUGUCCAACGUUAAUCGGGGCAGGGUGAGUCGACCCCUAAGGCGAGGCCGAAAGGCGUAGUCGAUGGGAAACGGGUUAAUAUUCCCGUACUUGGUGUUACUGCGAAGGGGGGACGGAGAAGGCUAUGUUGGCCGGGCGACGGUUGUCCCGGUUUAAGCGUGUAGGUGUGUGUUCCAGGUAAAUCCGGUUCACUUUAACACUGAGGCGUGACGACGAGGCACUACGGUGCUGAAGCAACAAAUGCCCUGCUUCCAGGAAAAGCCUCUAAGCAUCAGGUAACAUCAAAUCGUACCCCAAACCGACACAGGUGGUCAGGUAGAGAAUACCAAGGCGCUUGAGAGAACUCGGGUGAAGGAACUAGGCAAAAUGGUGCCGUAACUUCGGGAGAAGGCACGCUGACACGUAGGUGAAGUGAUUUACUCAUGGAGCUGAAGUCAGUCGAAGAUACCAGCUGGCUGCAACUGUUUAUUAAAAACACAGCACUGUGCAAACACGAAAGUGGACGUAUACGGUGUGACGCCUGCCCGGUGCCGGAAGGUUAAUUGAUGGGGUCAGCGCAAGCGAAGCUCCUGAUCGAAGCCCCGGUAAACGGCGGCCGUAACUAUAACGGUCCUAAGGUAGCGAAAUUCCUUGUCGGGUAAGUUCCGACCUGCACGAAUGGCGUAAUGAUGGCCAGGCUGUCUCCACCCGAGACUCAGUGAAAUUGAACUCGCUGUGAAGAUGCAGUGUACCCGCGGCAAGACGGAAAGACCCCGUGAACCUUUACUAUAGCUUGACACUGAACAUUGAGCCUUGAUGUGUAG